CUUGGAAUCAGAAGUCUGGGGUUUGAGCCCUCUCUCUGCUGCUUGGGAGUUGUAUGACUUUUGGGAAGUAAUUUUUCCUCAUCUGAACUUGUAAGAUAAUGAAAUGAAUCUAAAUAAUCUCUAAAAUUUCUUCCGGCUCUGACAUUCUGUGAUUCUUUAACUGCGUGGGCAGGAGGCUGUGGGGAAGGGUGAUGACGGAGAGCCUCUGAUCUGCAGUAUGGAAAGACACUGGAUCAAGCAUAACCCACUGUCACUCCAAACUCCUAAAGUCAAGCAAUCCACCAAACUCAGCAGCCUGAGGAGCAGGGAUGAACCAAUGCUGCCAGCUGAGACUGAAUAUUGCGAAAUUAAAGUGACCAAGGUUGGCCCCAAAGAAGAGACAAGAGAAGAUAUCUCCUACAUCCUUUGCAGAGGUUGGUUUGGAAGUUUCUGUUUGGAAUAUCCUAUGCCCAGUGUUCUGAAAUCCUUUAGCAAACAUACAGCAGCCCACGUAGCCUUCAUAACAAUGGAAGUAUCUCUCAUGACUGCCUUGCCCCAGCCGAGCACUGCCCAUGGUGCUGAAGACAAUGAAGUUGGAUCCCUCAGGGACAAAAGACUCGCCAUCUCCAUUGUUCAUCUGGAGCUGACCAGUAAGAAGUAGAAUUGGGACUGAGGAGAGAGACCAGGGGGCCAAGGGAAGGGAUGUGGGAAGGGAUGGAGUCUCUGAUAAACACAUCUGCCAUAGGGAAGAGCUAUAAUAUGACACAAUCAUUGUUGGAUACUGAGCUGCGGAACACGGAGAAGCC
rnacentral:lncRNA from 1 species